GCAGGAAACAGGCUAAUAAAACUACUCAGCUGCAAACAUGGGCUACCUUUCCUUUAAAAAAAAAAGGGAUGACUCAGAGGGCGGAAUCUCAAGCCAGAAGGCAAAGCCAUAUCCCGAGUAUAGAAUUUUGAGUCCAGAGGAUGGGGCUGUAGGCCCACAUCACGGAACCAGGAGCCACAGUGGAUGAGAUCACUCUUAGACUGGGUUCAGACUCCGGCACUGUGUAACGACAGGCAGAGUGCCUUUACGGAUAUGAUCUCAUCAUCCCCAAUGAGGCUACAGCAAGCGAAAGGAGGGAUCAUUCUUUCAAUUUAGUGAUGAAAAGAGAAGAUGACCUGGUGGCACAGGCUCUGUGUCUGGCACAGCCAUGGUAGAGCUCAGCACGGCUCCCCUGUUGGAACAGAUCUACAGAGCCCACAUUCGGCCGUGUUCAUGGACCUGGGACUGCAAACAGCUGCGCUCUAAUUACAUGUAAAGUGUACCAAAACAUCCCUUUUAUCACAGACUGGAAAUCUGUUAGCAUCUGUCUCUCCUUUGUUUCUUCCACAAGAUACAAGCUUGUUUCUACA